GCGGAGGAACCUCUGCGUGAGGCUACUGGUCUCUCUGCAGCGUGCCUGAAGGUGCCGGCGGCCGCCCUAGGGAGCAGCCUAGACUUGCAGGACUGGGUGGUACUUCACCCCCAAAGCGUGAAUUGGUGUUGAUGACGAACAACACUGUAAACGCUGUUUGCAAUCAGAACCAGUUUACUAAACCCUCUUCAUUCAUCUGAGAUUUAUUUAAACUUCUGUCUUAUGCCCCUGUGAUGCAAAGAGCUUUGCAAGAAAUGUGAGUGGAGUGUGGAGUUUGAAGGCGAGUAUUCUAUUGGUGCCUGCUGUGUACACUAUGCUAGAUGCAUUCCAUGUGUAAUUUCGUCCAUCCCUCUGCCAGGUAUAUGGAUUAAUUUGAUCAAAAGAGUUGGCUUCAGGCUCCCAUUGUUCUUCAUCAGCCAUCAACAAAAGCAUCAUUUUAGGUGACUGGUCUGCUGGAGAUGAGAAGGUUGAUGGCGCCUGAAUACAUCCCAGCCCCUGAGCAGAGCUUCCACGAUUUUACCACCAUUUAUGGGCACUGCCAGCAACUGCGGUGUGGACAGGAACCAGAGAAAUUUGUAAGAUUACCCAGGAUUAUUCAUUAGAUAUAAUUUGUUGCAAACAGUGGACGAAAGGGUGUUUUCCUGUUUGCAAAGAUAUGAAAAUGACUUUAUGUCAUGGAACUUUCUAUUUUUCCUAGUGGCAUCCAUUGUCCUUAACUAUUAAUUGUUUCCUUGUUGUAUUCAAGUCAUUUCUCAUUUUGACCCGAUCCAUCUGCCAAAUCUUCUCCCCCUCUCUUCAAACUGUAGGCACUAUAUUCCCAGAAGGUUCUAUUAAUUGUUCCCUGAAGAGACCAUGCUAAAUCUUCUCAAGUUUUAUUGUGUAAUAUUUGCAUGCAAAAGAAUAUAUAUGACAUAUGUGUGUGUGCUUUGAAGCAUAACAAUGAGAUAAACAUAUGAAUGAUUCUCCUCCUCUCCCUCAGCUUUCGGCCAGAACAUUACUGUUGCCUCUACCUGUGUGUUGCUUUUGCAUUCUUGCUUCUCAGCUUUUGCUCGUGCUGUCUAUCCCUGCCUGGGGAUACGCUCCUCCAUACUCAAACUUUUACCCUUCAAAGCUCUGGUCAGAUCCUAGCUCCUGCAUGAAGCUUUUCUUCAUGUGGCCUGUAAUUUCCCCUUUCCUGACUUCUUACAGGACCUGUGGGUCAUACCGCUCUUUGGGUAUUUCAGUAUAUGCUGCCUUUGUCUUGUGGUGCUUCCUCUGUCACCUUGAUGGGGAGAGCUCCGCAGGUGAGGACUCUCCUUUCUCCCACCAUGUCCUUGCAGUGCACUUAGUAGAUUCUUGAGAGUUGCCACUACCCUAGAUGGAAAAUUCUACUGUCAAGGUAAACAAU
rnacentral:lncRNA from 1 species